UGGAGCUUGCUCUAGCUGGAUUAGUGGCGAACGGGUGAGUAACACGUGAGCAAUCUGCCCCUGACUUUGGGAUAACUUCGAGAAAUCGAUGCUAAUACCGGAUACGACCCUUCCAGGCAUCUGGUGAAGGUGGAAAGAACUUUGGUCAGGGAUGAGCUCGCGGCCUAUCAGCUAGUUGGUGAGGUAAUGGCCCACCAAGGCGACGACGGGUAGCCGGCCUGAGAGGGUGACCGGCCACACUGGGACUGAGACACGGCCCAGACUCC
rnacentral:rRNA from 1 species